UACGUAGGGGGCUAGCGUUGUCCGGAUUUACUGGGCGUAAAGGGCGCGCAGGCGGUCUUGAAAGUCAGGCGUGAAAGCCCCGGGCUUAACCUGGGAAUUGCGCUUGAUACUCUGAGACUGGAGUACGGGAGAGGAGAGUGGAAUUCCCAGUGUAGAGGUGAAAUUCGUAGAUAUUGGGAAGAACACCAGUGGCGAAGGCGGCUCUCUGGACCGUAACUGACGCUGAGGCGCGAAAGCGUGGGGAGCAAACAGG
rnacentral:rRNA from 1 species